UGGGGAAUAUUGCACAAUGGGCGCAAGCCUGAUGCAGCCAUGCCGCGUGUAUGAAGAAGGCCUUCGGGUUGUAAAGUACUUUCAGUCGGGAGGAAGGUGGUAAGGUUAAUAACCUUAUCAAUUGACGUUACCGACAGAAGAAGCACCGGCUAACUCCGUGCCAGCAGCCGCGGUAAUACGGAGGGUGCAAGCGUUAAUCGGAAUUACUGGGCGUAAAGCGCACGCAGGCGGUUGAUUGAGUCAGAUGUGAAAUCCCCGGGCUUAACCCGGGAAUUGCAUCUGAUACUGGUCAGCUAGAGUCUUGUAGAGGGGGGUAGAAUUCCAUGUGUAGCGGUGAAAUGCGUAGAGAUGUGGAGGAAUACCGGGGGCGAAGGCGGCCCCCUGGACAAAGACUGACGCUCAGGUGCGAAAGCGUGGGGAGCAAACAGG
rnacentral:rRNA from 1 species